GAUGAACGCUGGCGGCGUGCCUAAUACAUGCAAGUCGAGCGAACAGACGAGAGUGCUUGCACUCUCUGACGUUAGCGGCGGACGGGUGAGUAACACGUGGGUAACCUACCUAUAAGACUGGGAUAACUUCGGGAAACCGGAGCUAAUACCGGAUAAUAUUUAGCUUCGCAUGAAGCAAUAGUGAAAGACGGUUCUGCUGUCACUUAUAGAUGGACCCGCGGUGUAUUAGCUAGUUGGUGAGGUAACGGCUCACCAAGGCAACGAUACAUAGCCGACCUGAGAGGGUGAUCGGCCACACUGGGACUGAGACACGGCCCAGACUCCUACGGGAGGCAGCAGUAGGGAAUCGUCCGCAAUGGACGAAAGUCUGACGGAGCAAUGCCGCGUGAGUGAAGAAGGUUUUCGGAUCGUAAAACUCUGUUGUAAGGGAAGAACAAGUACGUUAGUAACUGAACGUACCUUGACGGUACCUUACCAGAAAGCCACGGCUAACUACGUG
rnacentral:rRNA from 1 species